CCUCGUAGGCGCCACAAAGAAGGGGGUUAUCACUGGAGCCACAGGGAUCAGCCCGGAGCCUGUUGGAGCUGCCCUCGCCCAAAGUGGAGCUGCCCUCGCCCAAAGUGGAGCGCUCCACGCCGGCUGUGUGGUAGCGGACCGGUCGGGGGGCGGGGUAUAGGGAGAACCCUCCCAGCUCUCUUAGUCUCCAUUGGACAGAGCGGGCGCUCGGGGCGGGGCGAGCGCGCAGAGCUUGGGGUCUAUUGGCCAGCGCCGGGCAGCAGUGUGAGGGCGGGGCCGGGCGGGUGCGAGGGCGCCGACAGCAGCGACCAGGUAAGCUGCCGGGGCAGCGGCGCCCGACGGUUCUCCCGGCUCUGGUUCUUCGGGCUUCCCCGGAGUCAAUGUCCCAGCGGGGCAGGGGCGCAUGAGGUGCGGGCUGGGCCAUCCCUCCGCCGGCAGCGAGGCCCUACCGCAAGCCCGCCUCAGGCUUCCUCAGGCCGCCCGCCGCCUAUCACCUGUCACCGUCCGAUCUGCGCCUCAUCUGCGGUGCGGCCGCCCCGCGGCACGGGACACCCGCCUCCACCCAGCCGUGGCUGGCUCAGCCAUCUGCAGGACGGGGACGGUGACACCGGGCCGAGAGACAGCAGUCCUGUGUGUGUGUGGAGACAAGCGGCAUCUCUGAGUACCUCGGGGAGCAGCAGACGUGGACGCUUUGUUUGGUGCCCCCCUUCGCGUAGCCUGGACCGUCACCCUGCUCUGCUUCAUUUGUUCAGCUCUGCAAGAACGUGAUUUCUCCCAGGUUUCACCCCCUUUUUCCCAGGCCAACUCUUGAGGUUUUGAUGAAGCUGCCUUCCAGCCUUUAGGGACAAUGGUCUGAAGUGGACAUGUGAGGAAGAGGAAGGCCCAGGACUUCAGGGAGCCUUUCUCAGGCCACAGGAGACCUCAGCCCAGGAACCUUAGGCCACCCCCAAGCUAAUUCUUGGCUUCUGAAGCUGCUUCCCUUGAGAAAGCCACAACCACACCCUGGACCAAAGAGUGAUCAUUAGCAGGAGAAGCACACCAGCUUCAGAAGGAACCGACCGUAGCGGCUUUCCUUCCAGCUUCCUUUUUCCUUCCAUCUGCAUCUGCACCUUCACCAGGCUAGUCAAGCCAUGAAGAAAAGACAGAUUUUAUGGCUUCAGGACUCCUACAGUAAAGACAGUCCCCAAACAGGCAAAAGCAUAAAUACACAACAUUACCACAAAGGAAAGCUUUCAUCCUCAGCCCUGCCAAGCACGGAGUCACGGAGAUGUUCAUACACAACCAUCCGAACGCCAGAGUACACUGUGGAAAACAAAAGCAGGAGAUGAUUCUUGGAUCUAUCAUUUCUGGAGGUCACACUGUGAUAGAUCAAGAGAUUGGUUAGAAAACACUCCGGAGCUUGCCUAGGCCAGCUGGUCCCUGCUCUGACGUUUGUGAUCAAAAUGGGGACAGUGAGGGGGCUGCCUGGUAGCAUGGCCAGAGCUAAAACUUUCAGCAUCAGAGAAUCUCUCCAUCUGAGCCAGGAGGCAGCACAGCUUAUGCCCACACGCUAAGGAGAUGUGACCGCAUUGCUUCCCUCCUGCCCGGUGCCAAGCACAAAACCUCCCACAAGUGCUUUUGAGGUUUGUUGCUGUCACCCUAUUUCCAAAUAAAGCACAGAAAGCUGUUACUUGUGGCCAAACCGUUAAUGCAUUUCUUCAUUCUAGUGCUUGCAACCUUAUCUUUCUGUUUUUUCCCAGCCCAUCCCCACUUCCCUUAAAUAAAAUAUAUUUAUUGUUCUGAGGAUUCUGUGCCUGCAUGCGCUGAAGACCUUCCUGCAGAGACCACAGGGAAAUUAUAUUUUGUGGUCCCAGAAGCCAGAUUAAGGGCAAGAGAGGAUAUUGAGCCAGAAUCCCAUAUAUUUAAAAGUGGGAUUGCAGGGUGGACUGAAAAAUCCUCACAGAUAUAUUUAAAGUCCAAGAACAUAUGGCAAGCUCACUUCAAAAGGCUGUUGGCCACAGAAGGCAGGACCCAAACUUGUGCCGUCAUGAGCGGAUAAUCACCUAUGUGGCG